CGUUAAAAAUUUCAUCUAUUUUUAUUAUUAAAAAUUGUUGUGGUUGAUAGAAUUACAAGAUAGUUACACAUGGUGUGCCCCCAUACUGAUGUACAUGGAACAGUUUUUAACAGUAGAAAUAGAUGAAUUUUUAACA
rfam:Gossypium hirsutum cultivar TM-1 unplaced genomic scaffold scaffold445.1, whole genome shotgun sequence